UUAUAUUCAACAUUAAUGCAUACGGUGGAUGCCUUGGUCGAAAGUACCGAUGAAGGACGCACUUGACCGCGAUAGUCUGCGAGGAGCUGCCAAGAAGCUUUGAUCCGCAGGUUUCCGAAUAGAGUAAUCAAUCAUUUUAUAUGAUGUCUUUUACUGAAUACAUAGGUAAAAGAAGGGUACGCGCUGAACUGAAACAUCUAAUUAAGCGCAGGAAAAUAAAUCAAAAGAGAUUCCCCGAGUAGCGGCGAGCGAAAAGGGAAGAGACUAAACUUAUUCCGCAAGGGAUGAGGGUUGUGGGAUCUACGAUACGGUAUUAACUAAAGAUAAUAGAAUAGUCUGGAAAGACUAGCCAAAGGAAGUGAUAGCCUUGUAUAUAAAAUCUAAAGUUAGCCUAGUAGACACCCGAGUAGCACAGGACACGUGAAAUCCUGUGUGAAUCUGUGGCGACCGCGCCAUAAGUCUAAAUAUACUUUCGGACCGAUAGUGAACUAGUACCGCGAGGGAAAGGUGAAAAGAAGGGCGAAACGCCCAGUGAAAUAGUACCUGAAACCGUAUGUUGACGAGCAGUCAAAGUCCCAAUUUAUUGGGACAAUGGCGUGCCUAUUGAAGAAUGAACCGGUGAGUUACCUGACUUUUCAAGUCUAACUCUCUAAUAAGAGGAAGGCGUAGUGAAAGCGAGCGUUAAUAGCGCGAUUAGGAAAGGCAGGUAGACCCGAAACCGAGUGAGCUAACCAUGUCCAGGGUGAAGGUCGUCGAAAGAUGAUUGGAAGCCCGAACCCAUAUCAAGAGCAAUUGGUUGGGAUGAGAUGUGGUUAGAGGUGAUAUGCCUAACGAACUCGGAGAUAGCUGGUUCUCCCCGAAAUAUAUCUAGGUAUAGCCUCCAAGUAAUAACUGCAGGGGUAGAGCACUGGAUGGACUUUUGUGUCGCAAGACUCAAAGUUCAAUCAAACUCCGAAUACUGCAGGUCUCUUGGGGAGUCAGUCCGAUCCGGCUAAGCGGAGCGGUCGUGAGGGAAACAACCCAAAUCAAUAGCUAAGGUCCCUAAAUGUAAGUUAAGUGUUAAAGGAAGUCUAAAACCUUAUACAGCCAGGAAGUUGGCUUAGAAGCAGCCACCUUUUAAAGAUAGCGUAACAGCUCACUGGUCUAUUACGGUUUUAGGCGCCGACAAUUUAUCGGGGCUAAACUUACUACCGAAGCUUUGGAUGCGAUUUAAUUUAUUAAGUCGCGUGGUAGGGGAGCGAUCUUUUUGGAGUGAAUGGUCCUAGGAAUGGGACCUGGACUGGAAAGAUGUGAGAAUGCCGGUAUGAGUAGCGUAUUGACGUGAGAAACGUCAUCGCCGAAUGCCCAAGGUUUUCCAUGCAACGUUAAUCGGCGUGGAGUUAGUCGAUCCUAAGGUCAGGCCAAACGGCGUAGCCGAUGGACAACAGGUUAAAAUUCCUGUACUUGUUUGUAUCGAAAACACGCCCGCCGCAAGGCGCGGCGUAAGACUUUAAGGGUGGACAGAGUGGGAAUAUCCAGCCCUGUAUAUCAGGGUUUAAGUGACAAGGAAGUAUGAGUCGGCAAAUCCGCUCGUAAUCUCAACGUUUGUUGGGAUCGGCCUGAUAGGCUUUAAAACCUGUCAGACUGCACAUUCGAGUUACGAAGCGCAAGUGGAAAUUUUCUAUUUUCAAGAAAAGACCCGUAAAGGAGUACAAAUGAAUCGUACCAAUAACCGACACAGGUGGGCGAGUUGAGUAUACAUAGGCGAUCGAGAAAACUAUCCUUAAGGAACUCGGCAAUAUAACUGGACGUAAGUUAGCAAGAUGUCCUGCCCCGAGCAAUCGGGGUUACAAUAAAAGACGCUGAGCGACUGUUUAACAAAAACACAGGUCCCUGCUAAAUCGAAAGAUGAUGUAUAGGGGCUGACACCUGCCCAGUGCCAGUAAUUUAACAUUUCGGCUGACCCGAUUCGCAAGAUGAGGUGAGGCUGAGGUCUAAGAUCUGGUGAACGGCAGCAGUAACUAUGAAACCUAAAAGGUUGUUGUAGUUGUUAAACUUGGCUAAAUGCUGGAACAUCUGAGAAUCCUACAUUAGUAUUGACUUUUUGGUUUACCUUCGGGUAAUCUGGAGUUAGGACUAAAAAU
rnacentral:rRNA from 1 species